AAUUUAAAAGUUUAACAACAAUUUUUGUUCUCAUCGCUUUGUUUGUAAUUACUUGCAACGCAGAACCACCGGGUUAUUGUAAAAAUAAUGAUAGUUCGGGUUUAUGUGCAGGAGGUGCACCAAACGUUAAAGCUCAAGCUGGCGAGGAGGGUAAAUGUGAAACAUAUGACAGCGAGUGUUUGGUGGAGAAAUUAAAUUGUCUGCGUUAUCGCAGUGGAGAGCCGUUAUUGAUACCAUGUUAAUUAAUAACAACGAAAUAAAUGUAUUAAAAAGGCGACAUUUUUUAUACGAUAUAUAACUCUUAAAAUGCAUGGAAUAAAUUUAAAUUUUUUAUUUAUUUGUUACAAAA